GACGUCCCUCCUGCAGCUGACCAUCAUGGGGGUAAAUGGCUGUGCCGAGCCAGUGUGGGGGGAUCUUCAGUGGAAGCCAGAGCGGAACCAGAGACGCGUGAAAAAGGAAAAGGAAAAAGGAGCCGAACUAAACAUGAAAAGCAUAUACAGAAAUACACUUUAACAACCACAAUGUAUAAUGUAGAUACACACAUGAAAUAACUAAAUGAAGACCAACAGGACGCCAUCAGGACGCCAUCAGGACAUCAUCAGGACGUCACGUCACCGGGGCGCGCUGAGAGUCGACCCCUCAGGAGCAGCUCCAGAUCCAC
ensembl:lncRNA